GAUCCUGGCUCAGAUUGAACGCUGGCGGCAGGCUUAACACAUGCAAGUCGAGCGGUAACAGAGAGUAGCUUGCUACUUUGCUGACGAGCGGCGGACGGGUGAGUAAUGCUUGGGAACAUGCCUUGAGGUGGGGGACAACAGUUGGAAACGACUGCUAAUACCGCAUAAUGUCUACGGACCAAAGGGGGCUUCGGCUCUCGCCUUUAGAUUGGCCCAAGUGGGAUUAGCUAGUUGGUGAGGUAAUGGCUCACCAAGGCGACGAUCCCUAGCUGGUUUGAGAGGAUGAUCAGCCACACUGGGACUGAGAC
rnacentral:rRNA from 1 species